GUUCUAGCUAUAAAAUUCAUAAAAUACUUUAAUAAAAGCUCCAUAAAAUGUCAACACCCUGUCUGAGAUUCUGUCCCAUUUGAAAUGAAAACCAAGGCUAACAUAAACAAAUUACAAAGAAGUUAGUUUUUGAUAUAUAAAACCCAGUUUUUAGAAUAUGAUGCUAUUUUUGAUGAAAUAGUGAAAGAGAACAAAGCUGGAUUUGACUUGAUUCUCUUGAUGAUACAGUCAGAGUUUAUAAAUCUGUGUUGCUCCUGUGUCUGCACAGACAGAAUCUGGAGAUGUUAAUUUUUUGUCAUUUGGCUUCUAGAUGUCCUUGGCGUGUACACCCUGUGGAAUCUGGUUCAUCUUCAAUCUGUCAGAAGGCAUCAGAGGUGGUUUUGACUCCUUAUGUCUUGGACCUGUGCACAAAAAGUACGGGCAGGAGAGGAUGCAGGAGACUGUACAAAGUUCAAGAAACGAUAUGCUUUAAUCAAGGUAAAAUGGAUGGAACAUCAGACAGCUCAUUAUAGAGACAAGUAAGCUCCAGUUCCAAAGUUGGUUGACAGAACAAGUCAUGACCUUGUGUGGAGGAAAAUGAGAUCCCGAGUGAAGUCUACAAUGUCAUUGACUCUGAAGAAGGACUCAGAGACCCAUUGGUGUUUAAUGACCCUUACUGGCCUAUGCAAUGGAAACUG
rnacentral:lncRNA from 1 species